rnacentral:rRNA from 1 species
AGAGUUUGAUCCUGGCUCAGGACGAACGCUGGCGGCGGGCUUAACACAUGCAAGUCGAAGGAGAAGGGGGGUGCUUGCACCACCUGGAGACUGGCGCACGGGUGAGUAACGCGUAGGCAAUCUGCCCAUAGCAGGGGGAUAACAUCGGGAAACCGGUGCUAAUACCGCAUAAUGCAGCGGGGUCGCAUGACCACAGUUGUUAAGGGUCUUCGGACCGGCUAUGGAUGAGCCUGCGUGCCAUUAGUUAGUUGGUAGGGUAAUGGCCUACCAAGGCGAUGAUGGCUAGGGGGUCUGAGAGGAUGAUCCCCCACACUGGUACUGAGACACGGACCAGACUCCUACGGGAGGCAGCAGUGAGGAAUCUUGCGCAAUGGAGGAAACUCUGACGCAGCCACGCCGCGUGCCGGAAGACGGCCCUAUGGGUUGUAAACGGCUUUUGAUUGGGAAGAACUGCCCUGUUUCGACGGGGCUUGACGGUACCAUUUGAAU